rnacentral:rRNA from 1 species
GGCUCAGGAUGAACGCUAGCGGGAGGCCUAAUACAUGCAAGUCGAGCGGUAGAGUGACUUCGGUUGCUUGAGAGCGGCGAACGGGUGAGUAACGCGUACACAAUCUACCUUUAAGAGGGGAAUAGCCCUGGGAAACUGGGAUUAAUGCCCCAUGGCAUCACGAAGUGGCAUCGCUUUGUGAUUAAAGCUGAGGUGCUUAGAGAUGAGUGUGCGUCUGAUUAGCUAGUUGGUGCGGUAACGGCGCACCAAGGCGACGAUCAGUAGGGGGCGUGGGAGCGUGGACCCCCACACGGGUACUGAGACACGGACCCGACUCCUACGGGAGGCAGCAGUAAGGAAUAUUGGUCAAUGGAGGAAACUCUGAACCAGCCAUCCCGCGUGCAGGAAGAAUGCCCUAUGGGUUGUAAACUGCUUUUAUCUGGGAAGAAAAGUCGGCAUUUAUGCUGAUCUGACGGUACCAGAGGAAUAAGCACCGGCUAACUCCGUG